AGUGACCGAUAGCGCAUAGUACUGUGAAGGAAAGGUGAAAAGGACCCCGGGAGGGGAGUGAAAGAGAACCUGAAACCCUGUGUUUACAAACUGUGGAAGCACAAUCUAAAAGAUGUGCGACCGCGUACUUUUUGUAGAACGGUCCGGCGAGUUACGCUUACUGGCAAGGAUAAGGACUAAAGGUCCGGAUCCGAAGGGAAACCAAGUCUUAAUAGGGCGUCAAGUCAGUGGGGGUAGACCCGAAACCGGGUGACCUAUCCAUGUCCAGGUUGAAGUUGCCGUAAAAGGCAGUGGAGGACCGCACACACAUCCGUUGAAAAGGGUGGUGAUGAGGUGUGGAUAGGGGAGAAAUUCCAAUCGAACCCGGAGAUAGCUGGUUCUCCUCGAAACAGCUUUAGGGCUGUCCUCGUAUAUGUCACAUGGAGGUAGAGCACUGAAUUUCCGCAGGGGCGUCAAAGCUUACUAAAGAAUAUCAAACUCCGAAUGCCAUAGUGAUGAAGUACGGGAGUCAGACUGCACGAGAUAAGUUGAGUGGUCAAAAGGGAAAGAGCCCAGACCGCCGGCUAAGGUCCCAAAGUGCGUGUUAAGUGGUAAAGGAUGUGGGAUCUCGAAGACAACUAGGAUGUUGGCUCAGAAGCAGCCAAGCAUUCAAAGAGUGCGUAACAGCUCACUAGUCGAGAGGUUCUGCGCCGAAAAUGUACCGGGGCUAAAACACGACACCGAAGCCGCGGGAUGUAGAAAUACAUCGGUAGAGGAGCAUUCUUAAUUUAGGGAAGCGGUACCGGAAGGAGCCGUGGAGAAUUAAGAAGAGAGAAUGCCGGAAUGAGUAGCGAGAGAAAGGUGAGAAUCCUUUCGGCCGAAUAUCUAAGGAUUCCAGGGUAAAGCUGAUCUGCCCUGGGUAAGUCGGGGCCUAAGGCGAGGGCGAGAGCCGUAGUCGAUGGACAACAGGUUGAGAUUCCUGUACCUUAGUAAAACAGAACUGUGGGGACGCAGAACCAAAGGAUGAGCCGGGAAUGGAAAGACCGGUCGAAGCACCGAAGGAGGCAGUUGGAAAAACCGCUGCGGGAUCCUGGAGUGUGAAGGGAGCGAAAUAAAGUAGCGAAGCAUUUGGAGGGGCUGCCGAGAAAAGCCGCUAUUGUUUUUACUAAGCCCGUACCGUAAACCGACACAGGUGGAUGAGGAGAAGAUCCUAAGGCCGACGGAAGAAGCAUUGUUAAGGAAUUCGGCAAAAUGACCCCGUAACUUCGGGAGAAGGGGUGCCUACGCAAGUAGGCCGCAGAGAAUAGGCUCAAGCAACUGUUUAGCAAAAACACAGGUCUAUGCGAAACCGUAAGGUGAUGUAUAUGGGCUGACGCCUGCCCGGUGCUGGAAGGUUAAGAGGAGAGGUUAGUCGCAAGACGAAGCUUUGAAUUCAAGCCCCAGUAAACGGCGGCCGUAACUAUAACGGUCCUAAGGUAGCGAAAUUCCUUGUCGGGUAAGUUCCGACCC
rnacentral:rRNA from 1 species